GACACUAUAGCCAAAUGGUUACGGCGACAGAUUAGAAUAGCCCAAUCGAUCGUGUGCGAUAUUUACGUUCAUCUGUUCCUCGUUGGAGGGCGCAGGUUCGAAUCCUGCUAGUGUCG